AUGUCUCUAGUGAUCCCUGGGAAGUUCCAGCACAUUUUGCAAGUACUCAACACCGACAUCGAUGGGCGGUGGAAAAUAGCCACUGCCAUCAUUAAGGGCGUGGGGCGGAGCUAUGCUCAUGUCGUGUUGAGGAAAACAGACAUUGGAGAACUCACGGAGGAUGGAGUGGAGCAUUUGAUCACCAUUAUGCAGAACCCACGACAGUACAGGAUCCCAGGCACUGGUUCUUGAACAGACAGAAGGAUGGGAAGUACAGCCAGGUUCUGGUCAAUGGUCUAGACAAUAAGCUGCGUGAGGACCCGGAGCGGUUGAAGAAAAUUCGAGCCCAUAGUGGGCUGCUCCACCUUUGGGGCCUUCGUAUCCACGGUCAGCACACCAAGACCACUGGCCACGGGGGCCGUACUGUGGGUGUAUUCAAGAAGAAAUGA
rnacentral:lncRNA from 1 species